CCCUUAGAUGUUCUGGGCCGCACGCGCGCUACACUGAUGCAUUCAACGAGCACCCGCUGGGCCGAGAGGUCCGGCUAAUCUUUGAACGUGCAUCGUGAUGGGGAUAGAUUAUUGCAAUUAUUAAUCUUCAACGAGGAAUGCCUAGUAAGCGCAAGUCAUCAGCUUGCGUUGAUUACGUCCCUGCCCUUUGUACACACCGCCCGUCGCUCCUACCGAUUGAAUGGUCCGGUGAAGCGUUCGGACCGUGGCCUUUGGACGGUUCGCCGUCUGUUGGCUGCGGGAAGUUCGUUAAACCUUAUCAUUUAGAGGAAGGAGAAGUCGUAACA
rnacentral:rRNA from 1 species